rnacentral:rRNA from 1 species
UGCAAGUCGAGCGGACAGAUGGGAGCUUGCUCCCUGAUGUUAGCGGCGGACGGGUGAGUAACACGUGGGUAACCUGCCUGUAAGACUGGGAUAACUCCGGGAAACCGGGGCUAAUACCGGAUGCUUGUUUGAACCGCAUGGUUCAAACAUAAAAGGUGGCUUCGGCUACCACUUACAGAUGGACCCGCGGCGCAUUAGCUAGUUGGUGAGGUAAUGGCUCACCAAGGCGACGAUGCGUAGCCGACCUGAGAGGGUGAUCGGCCACACUGGGACUGAGACACGGCCCAGACUCCUACGGGAGGCAGCAGUAGGGAAUCUUCCGCAAUGGACGAAAGUCUGACGGAGCAACGCCGCGUGAGUGAUGAAGGUUUUCGGAUCGUAAAGCUCUGUUGUUAGGGAAGAACAAGUACCGUUCGAAUAGGGCGGUACCUUGACGGUACCUAACCAGAAAGCCACGGCUAACUACGUGCCAGCAGCCGCGGUAAUACGUAGGUGGCAAGCGUUGUCCGGAAUUAUUGGGCGUAAAGGGCUCGCAGGCGGUUUCUUAAGUCUGAUGUGAAAGCCCCCGGCUCAACCGGGGAGGGUCAUUGGAAACUGGGGAACUUGAGUGCAGAAGAGGAGAGUGGAAUUCCACGUGUAGCGGUGAAAUGCGUAGAGAUGUGGAGGAACACCAGUGGCGAAGGCGACUCUCUGGUCUGUAACUGACGCUGAGGAGCGAAAGCGUGGGGAGCGAACAGGAUUAGAUACCCUGGUAGUCCACGCCGUAAACGAUGAGUGC